GUUGCUGGUGACUUCAGCCUCAUCUCUGAUUGGUUAGCAGGAGACCGCAGAACGCCACAACGCCUUCACGCAUGUUUUCUACUCGCGAAAUAUAGUACCUAGCCUCUUGUCAUGCGACAUUUAUUUUAUUGAUUUUACAAAUUUCGACAGGCGUAGCAAGAAAAUUGUCUAUACAUUGAAGAGAAAUGAGAUAUUGAUCACUCGAUAGUUGCGUAAGUGGCCAUUUACCCUGCCGUUUUACUCAUUUCUGGGAACGAAUCGAUAGCUUCGUGAGAAUCUACAUUGCCAUCUACAUUGCCAAAAAUUUGCAGAACAAGGUGCUAAGGAAGGAUGAGAGUCGCCGUGAGAGAGCGCUUGUGUCGCCCGACCGCUCACUUUUUCUAAAAUUGGUCACAGACGGUUGGACCUGGCCUAAGGAAAGCGGUAAAUCGCGACGAUCCUAUCCUCUGGAGGACUUGCAGGGUGGGGCAGGGACUAUUGCCACUGGGGCCAACUCAUCUGUAUGAUGUGCACGCGAAACAAUUGCGUAGUCCUUAGAGGGAGCUCUAGAAUCAUUUUAUCACCGCUACUGUCUUGAACAGAAGAAAUAAUCGUAUUCGACUUUAUGGCUAGAAUGACGUUUUAAGUAGG